rnacentral:rRNA from 1 species
UUCCUACGGGGGGCAGCAGUGAGGAAUAUUGGUCAAUGGGCGGAAGCCUGAACCAGCCAAGUCGCGUGAGGGAAUAAGGCCCUACGGGUCGUAAACCUCUUUUGCCGGGGAGCAAGGGCGGGGACGUGUCCCGGCCCGGAGAGUACCCGGAGAAAAAGCAUCGGCUAACUCCGUGCCAGCAGCCGCGGUAAUACGGAGGAUGCGAGCGUUAUCCGGAUUUAUUGGGUUUAAAGGGUGCGUAGGCGGGCUUUUAAGUCAGCGGUCAAAUUGCGGGGCUCAACCCCGUACUUCCGUUGAAACUGCAU